AUGCUCGACGCCGGCGGCGACGGGUCCUCCGGGUCGGGCACCACCACCUGCCAGGACUGCGGCAACCAGGCCAAGAAGGACUGCACCCACAGCCGGUGCCGCACCUGCUGCAAGAGCCGCGGCUUCGACUGCUCCACGCACGUCAAGAGCACCUGGGUCCCCGCCGCCCGCCGCCGCGAGCGCCAGCACCUCGGCGGCUCCGCCUCGUCCCCCGCCAACGCCUCCACCGCCGCCGGAUCGAAGAAGCCUCGCCUCCUCUCCUCCCAGCAGGCCACCACCUCGCACACCUCCACCUCCAACGCCACCACGCCGCGCAGCUACGACACCACCUCCAGCCAUCAAGACGCGUCGUUCAGGGGGUACCUCCCGCGGCAGGUGCGCGCGCCGGCGGUGUUCAGGUGCGUGCGCGUGACGUCCGUCGACGACGGCGAGGACGAGUACGCGUACCAGGCCACGGUGACCAUCAACGGCCACGUCUUCAAGGGCUUCCUCUACGACCAGGGCGUCGACGACGGCCGCGCCAGCAAUGACAUGGACUCGAGCACCGGCGGCGCCGUGCCCAACAUGUCCGAGCUCCACCUCGGGGGCGGCGGCGGCAAUGCCGCGAGGGGAGGUGGGGGGUCCUCCUCGAUGGCGCCCUCCGACAUGUACGGCGGCGGUGGCGCCGGAGGAGCAGGCGGAGGGGGAGGAGGCCAGCAGCACAUACUUGGCGGCGGGUCCAGCUAUGGUAACACCAUGAACUGA
rnacentral:rRNA from 1 species